CCUACGGGGGGCAGCAGUGGGGAAUAUUGGACAAUGGGCGAAAGCCUGAUCCAGCCAUGCCGCGUGUGUGAAGAAGGCCUUCGGGUUGUAAAGCACUUUCAGUGGGGAAGAAAGCCUUGGGGCUAAUACCCUCGAGGAAGGACAUCACCCACAGAAGAAGCACCGGCUAACUCCGUGCCAGCAGCCGCGGUAAUACGGAGGGUGCGAGCGUUAAUCGGAAUUACUGGGCGUAAAGCGCGCGUAGGCGGUCUGAUAAGCCGGUUGUGAAAGCCCCGGGCUCAACCUGGGAACGGCAUCCGGAACUGUCAGGCUAGAGUGCAGGAAAGGAAGGUAGAAUUCCCGGUGUAGCGGUGAAAUGCGUAGAGAUCGGGAGGAAUACCAGUGGCGAAGGCGGCCUUCUGGACUGACACUGACGCUGAGGUGCGAAAGCGUGGGUAGCAAACAGGAUUAGAUACCCUGGUAGUC
rnacentral:rRNA from 1 species